rnacentral:rRNA from 1 species
AUUGAACGCUGGCGGCAGGCCUAACACAUGCAAGUCGAACGGUAACAGGAAGAAGCUUGCUUCUUUGCUGACGAGUGGCGGACGGGUGAGUAAUGUCUGGGAAACUGCCUGAUGGAGGGGGAUAACUACUGGAAACGGUAGCUAAUACCGCAUAACGUCGCAAGACCAAAGAGGGGGACCUUCGGGCCUCUUGCCAUCGGAUGUGCCCAGAUGGGAUUAGCUAGUAGGUGGGGUAACGGCUCACCUAGGCGACGAUCCCUAGCUGGUCUGAGAGGAUGACCAGCCACCCUGGAACUGAGACACGGUCCAGACUCCGACGGGAGGCAGCAGUGGGGAAUAUUGCACAAUGGGCGCAAGCCUGAUGCAGCCAUGCCGCGUGUAUGAAGAAGGCCUUCGGGUUGUAAAGUACUUUCAGCGGGGAGGAAGGGAGUAAAGUUAAUACCUUGGCUCAUUGACGUUACCCGCAGAAGAAGCACCGGCUAACUCCGUG